rnacentral:lncRNA from 1 species
UGGAUUAUUUCUGAAUAUAAUAUUCAAUCACUUUGAAAACAGAUUUCAAACCAUUUAGAAUAUAGACAAUUCUGCAGUCUCUCUUUUUACUAGUACAUGGGUAACAACCAAUAGUGGUCCUCAUUGAAAUGGGCAAAAGGUCAAGAGUUACAGAGUCUGUUUAAAUAUUGUCAAUGAUCUAAGUUCAAGUUAUUGUUGCGUUGCUGACUUUCAAUGCUUACCCUAUUCUUUGGUACCUUGUGAUGUACAUCAUGAUCAUGACUUGUUACUAUCAUAACUCAAAAUUCAGGUAAUUUUUUUUCAUACAAACAGGAUAUCAAUUCUGCAAAAGAGACGUGCUUUUCCAGUUGGAACAGGAAGAAGUGUCAAGAGAAGGAAUAGGUUUUCCUCAAUACCAGAAUCCAGGGAGGCAGUAUGCCUUUAAAACAUGGGAAAUGAUAGAAGUGAUAUUCAGUCAACCUACCUGUAGGAAAGACACUUCUAAAAUCAUGUCAUUGGUAAGUUCAAUUUUAUAUACCCUAGUGUUCCAAAUAGAUACCCAAUGAUGGAAUAAAU